GGUGAACGCUGGCGGCGUGCUUAAGACAUGCAAGUCGAACGGCAGUCUUCGGACUGUAGUGGCGCACGGGUGAGUAACGCGUAACUGACCUGCCCCAAAGUCGCGGAUAACGAUUCGAAAGAAUCGCUAAUACGUGAUGUGCUGUCAGAGUGUGUUCUGCCAGUAAAGAUUGAUUGCUUUGGGAUGGGGUUGCGUUCCAUCAGCUAGUUGGUGGGGUAAAGGCCCACCAAGGCGACGACGGAUAGCCGGCCUGAGAGGGUGGCCGGCCACAGGGGCACUGAGACACGGGUCCCACUCCUACGGGAGGCAGCAGUUAGGAAUCUUCCACAAUGGGCGAAAGCCUGAUGGAGCGACGCCGCGUGAGGGAUGAAGGUCUUCGGAUCGUAAACCUCUGAAUCAGGGACGAAAGACACUUCGGUGGGAUGACGGUACCUGAGUAAUAGCACCGGCUAACUCCGUGCCAGCCGCCGCCGUAAUAC
rnacentral:rRNA from 1 species